UGGAGGGUUCUUCAGUGAGAAAUUGCUGCCCACUUCCAGUGGUAGAGUUUGUUUUUGACGGCGAGUCGGUGAAUGGUCUCAGUCUCAGAUCUCAAUUUGUAUGACGAUACAGUACGAUAUUUGUUUAUGAAUUAAUUAUGUAAACGUCUCACAUCUCAAUUCUUUUUUAUUUUGGCAUCACACCGUUUGAUGCUUUGUACUACUCCUAUAUUAAAAGUAACACUUAUACUUGACAAAAAAACAAGUAACACUUAUAAAUUAAUUAAUAUUAUAUGUACACAAAAAAUU
rnacentral:lncRNA from 1 species